rnacentral:piRNA from 1 species
UAGCCAUGGUACUGACAUCUGAUCCGUGCU